rnacentral:rRNA from 1 species
UACGUAGGGGGCAAGCGUUGUCCGGAAUUAUUGGGCGUAAAGAGCGCGUAGGCGGUCUGAUAAGUCGGUUGUGAAAGUCGGGGGCUCAACCCUCGGAUGCCGAUCGAUACUGUCAGGCUAGAGUCCGGGAGAGGUGAGUGGAACUGCGAGUGUAGAGGUGAAAUUCGUAGAUAUUCGCAAGAACACCAGUGGCGAAGGCGGCUCACUGGCCCGGUACUGACGCUGGAGGUGCGAAAGCGUGGGGAGCAAACAGG